UACGGAGGAUCCGAGCGUUAUCCGGAUUUAUUGGGUUUAAAGGGUGCGUAGGCGGGUUAUUAAGUCAGUGGUGAAAGUUUGACGCUCAACGUUAAAAUUGCCAUUGAUACUGAUAGUCUUGAGUACAGUUGAGGUAGGCGGAAUGUGGUGUGUAGCGGUGAAAUGCAUAGAUAUACCACAGAACACCGAUUGCGAAGGCAGCUUACUAAAGUGUAACUGACGCUGAUGCACGAAAGUGUGGGGAUCAAACAGG
rnacentral:rRNA from 1 species